rnacentral:tRNA from 1 species
GCCCUGUUAGCUCAGUUGGCAGAGCAGCUGACUCUUAAUCAGCGGGUCGCAGGUUCGAGCCCUGCACAGGGCA